UACGAAGGGUGCAAGCGUUAUUCGGAAUUACUGGGCGUAAAGCGUGCGUAGGUGGUUUGUUAAGUCUGAUGUGAAAGCCCUGGGCUCAACCUGGGAAUUGCAUUGGAUACUGGCAGGCUAGAGUGCGGUAGAGGGUAGUGGAAUUCCCGGUGUAGCAGUGAAAUGCGUAGAGAUCGGGAGGAACACCAGUGGCGAAGGCGACUACCUGGACCAGCACUGACACUGAGGCACGAAAGCGUGGGGAGCAAACAGG
rnacentral:rRNA from 1 species